UCCCCUUCCCAAUAAUUUUAAAAUUAAUUUCAUCGAUAAUUGAGCCACCCCAAAGCAGCAGAAUCUCCAAAAACAUCAAAAUAUUGUUGAAUUCAAAACAAUUUCAUACAAAAUAAACAUCAAUGAGCCGUAAAAUUACGAUACUGCUUAAUGAUUAAUUAUCUUCCAUCAUUAUCUCACAUCAUAAUCGAUAUUCUCACCCUCCACCCCCCCCCCCUUCCCCCCUCGUAAAUUCCCCCAGGCAACUCUCCACAGCCCUGACCUUCUCUCUAGCGAUAAAAAAAAAUUGAUAAACUGUUUUAAUUAAUUAAUCGACUAAUAAAUAUUAUUCAUCAGAUAUGUUGCAGUAUGAUGAUGACAUCCAGUGGAUGCCCCGCAUCAUAAACAUCCGGAGUGUCAAGCCAGGACCAUCAAGACUGAAGUGCAAACAAUGUGGAAGACAAUUUACAUCGGUCUUCAACCUACGAAGACACAUAGAAUUGACUGUUCAAUGUGGAAAUGGUGGUGAGAGAACGGAAUGUACAAUUUGUAAAAAAAAAUUACGCCCCGAUUACAUCGCCAAUCACAUGCUGACUGUCCACAUGAAGCACAAGAAGAGUAAGAAGAGACGACAAGUGAAUCCAGGGUCGAUCAAUCGUUCGUUCCUUCGUAAACCGAAGGAGGAGAAGAAUUAAGUGCCUGUUCAGAUUUAUUUUCUACGAAUAUUCUGAACGAUGAUGAGGUAUUAAUUAAGAAUAAAACAGCUGAUUUUGCUACGGAAAUAUAAUCGAGAGAUGAAAUUGUAUUUUAUAUAUUUUUUUUUCAUUCGCAAUUGUCGCGAUGGCUUUUGGAUUUUUAAGGGAAAUAAAGAGAUUUAUUCAUUAAUUAUUA